rfam:Stegodyphus mimosarum contig125658, whole genome shotgun sequence.
GCCUUCGUGGUGUAAUGGUCAGCACACUCGACGCGUAUUCGAGAGGUAUGUGGUUCGAAUCCCGGUGAGGGCA